UACGUAGGGGGCAAGCGUUGUCCGGAUUUAUUGGGCGUAAAGAGCGUGUAGGCGGCCAAGCAGGUCAGCUGUGAAACUCGAGGCUCAACCUCGAGACGUCGGUUGAAACCGCUUGGCUAGAGUCCGGAAGAGGAGAGUGGAAUUCCCGGUGUAGCGGUGAAAUGCGCAGAUAUCGGGAAGAACACCCGUGGCGAAGGCGGCUCUCUGGGACGGUACUGACGCUGAGACGCGAAAGCGUGGGAGCGAACAGG
rnacentral:rRNA from 1 species